GAAAUAUUCUAUAUUAAGCUUCUAACUUAAUUCAAGUGAUUAAUAAUCAUUAAUAUUUCU
rnacentral:tRNA from 1 species